rnacentral:rRNA from 1 species
UACGUAGGGGGCGAGCGUUGUCCGGAUUUAUUGGGCGUAAAGAGCGUGUAGGCGGCUUUACAGGUCCGUUGUGAAAACUCGAGGCUCAACCUCGAGACGCCGGUGGAAACCGUAAGGCUAGAGUCCGGAAGAGGAGAGUGGAAUUCCUGGUGUAGCGGUGAAAUGACGCAGAUAUCAGGAGGAACACCCGUGGCGAAAGCGGCUCUCUGGGACGGUACUGACGCUGAGACGCGAAAGCGUGGGGAGCAAACAGG